UUAAUUGAAGAGUUUGAUCAUGGCUCAGAUUGAACGCUGGCGGCAGGCCUAACACAUGCAAGUCGAGCGGUAACAGAAAGAAAGCUUGCUUUCUUUGCUGACGAGCGGCGGACGGGU
rnacentral:rRNA from 3 species